GUUUUGCAUAUGCUGCCAGGUCCUGUGCUGAUAGCGAAGCUGAAUGCUAAAACCAUCUGUCAGGACCCAGGGGAGCUGGCUCUUAUUCACUGCUUCCUCAUGGUGUAAGGUCAAUACUACAACAAGCACUUCCAUCAUACAAGUCCUCUCUGCAAUGCAAAACAGUAUUUGUCUUCAGCAAUGCCAGCAACACUGUCUGCAAGCCUUCACGACAUCAGCUGUGCUUGUGUUUUGUUAUGAGGACUUACAGCAAGAGAUAUGGAGAAGCAUCCUGUAGGAUAGGACCUGAACAGCAUAAGUCACACCAGCAGAUGUGCAGAGUUUAUGUGAGUACUACCUGGUGAAUCCCAAGUGACACAACUGUUUGCGUGUGUGUGUGUGAGUGUGCAUAUAUUUGUAUGCCCAUGAUUUCUGAGGCCUUUAAACCUGAUGGCUCUAAAUCUGGGGUCCCUCUUGCCUAGAUGUCAUAAUGGUAGUGAUAGAAUUAGCCCAUAGGCUUACCAACUUUGUUGGAGUUUAAAAACAUUAGGGCCAGACAUUAUGUUCUUCCUAUAUGACAUAGACUGAAUGUUUACGUCCCCCCAAAAUUCACAUGUUGAAAUCUAAUUCCCAAUGUGAUGGUAUUUGGAGAUGGGGUCUUUGGGAAGUGAUUAGGUCAUGAGAGCAGAAUUAGUGUCCUUAUAAAAGAGGCCCCAGAGAGCUCCCUCACCCCCUUCCACCAUGUGAGGUUACAGUGAGAAGAUUACCAUUUAUGAGCCAGGAAGCAGGCCCUUGAUUUUGGACUUCCUAGCCUCUAGAACUGUGAGAAAUACAUUUCUGUUGUAUAUAAGUCACUAAGUCUAUGGUAUUAUUAUAGCAUGCUGAACAGACUAAGAUACUAUAAAAGAGAAAAUAGACCUACUUUAGGGCUGACACUGUGUUAAUCUUGGGGCUUCAAUGGUGAGCAAUAGGUAUGAUUUCUCUUAUUGGGGUCAUUACAAUCUAUUGAUGUAUAUACAUGUUAAACAGAUGAUUACUCAUAGCGUGUGUGCUAGGAACUAUAUAGCAAAGUUACAAGGUACGAUGGAUAUUCUGAUUGGUAGGGCAUAGGUCACUGCUAUGGUUGGGAAGGUGAGGUAUGAUUGUAACUGCAGGCCUUUCAGGACCAGUUCAACUGACCCCAUCUCUUAUGAACAGGGUUGAUUAAGAAUUGCCUUUCAGAAAAUCUGCAAAGUCACUUAGCCAGGGUAUGUGCAAAAGAAAAAAUUGUGACCUGAAACGACCUUGGAACCAAAUAUCCUCCUUCCCAUGGAAGCCAAAGACAGGAACAUGACCGGAAUUUGAAAGUCAGACUCUUAUCAGAAGAAAGAGGGUCUCUCAUUCAGGAAGAUCCAGUGUUAAAACUCCCUCCCCACCUCAUCAAAAAUGUUUAGAACGCCAUCAUAAAUGUUUAGAACCCUGUCAUAAAUGUCUAAAACCUUACUGUAAAUGCUAGAAUCCCACCAAUCAAAACCUGUCCCACCAGCAUUUCUGCAUGCUGGCCUCUUCUCCCUAACCUCUUCGAUUUUGCCCUAAAUCUUGAAUUAGAGAGACAAAUCUGAGGUCACACACCCCCUGUCUCCCUGCAGAUCAAUCUCACAGAAUUAAAGCUGAUUUCUCCCCUGAAGUCUGAUGCCAAAAUCCAUUGGCUUGUUUACACACAUCAGGCUGAGAAUCUCAAUUUUGUGCAGUAACAUGAUGAAGGCUGGUUUCCACCAGACACAUGUAUUACCAUUGAAGAAGGUGGUUUCCCAAAGUCAGAGGACUCUGUUUAUAUAAAGAUGGUCCUCUACUAUGAGAAUCAACAUUUAAGAACAUUCCUGAACAAUGAGUAUGAGUUGGUCAGGGCUGGUGUCUUAUAUUUGAACUUUAUUGCCACAUAAUUUAUACUUGGAGCCAUGAGAAUGCAUGAGGACCCUACUGACAAAGUACGGAGUGACUAUCAUUGAGAAGAGUGUCCAGAACGAUUUUAGCAUUUAUCAUCAGGCAAACAAAACUGAGACCCACUGGCCAGAAAACAAAGUUUGAUUAGAAUGCGUAAAGCAAUUUCAGAGUGCCCUUGGCAGAGGCUGUACCCUUAAUAUGUUUAGUUGAAUUAUGAAUCAUGCUUCUGUAGCUCUCUAGACUUCCAAAGUGUCAUUGUGCUCUGGGGACUGAUUGUCCCGACAGAUGUUUAACCAGGCCUCCAGGACAAAAAGAAUUCAAACAAGUUAAUGAAAUCUUUAUUAUUAACUUGGGAAAUUUUAGAACAAAUUUCUGAGAGAGGACCAACAAAUAAGUACAUCAGCUAAAGGAAUCCAACAUCCUAACUAUAUCAAUAAUUUGGAAAUGAUGAGCCAAAUAUGACAUUUAAUAUGUAUUAACGUAGAGUUUGAAUACUUGGGUUCAAGAAAUAAGUAGCAAAUCUAAGAGGACACACUAGCUCAGUAGCAUCACAUGCGAUUUAGGGACUUAAAUUUUCUGUAAGCUUAGUGUGAGCCAACAGUAAAAGAUGGCUGCCCAACAUGCUCGAACAAUUUCAAAGUACUUUAACAGGAGCAUAACCUCUAGAGUGAAGGAGGUAAUAUGUUUGAUCUUUUGAGUUUUAGACAGGCAAGUAAAAGGUAUGAUGCUAAACCAGAAAACAUUUAGAGGAUAAUUACAAGAAAGAUGAGAGUACAUAAAACGAGAGGAUAUUUAUUCCAUAAAGGAGAAAACUCAGUUGUCUUUAUGUGAAAAAUUUUCUUGAAAAACUAGGUUAGACUUGUUCUUUAGGUCCUGGCUUCCAUUUAAAUAAGGUUGUCAAGAAAGGAAAGUUGGGGCAAGUGACAUUUUAUCAGAGAUGUGAGGAAAGUGAUGAAUUGGGCAGAAUAAAGAUCUGGGGGGAAAUAAGUAUAAUGAGAAAACAGCCACUGUACAGCCUGAGGCAGGAAUGAGAAAAAGGUUUGGAAAAAUAGCAAGAUUCUAUACAUACAUACAUGAGUUAAAAAUAACAUGGGUGUGCAUACACACAUGUACAUUUAACUGUAUGUGUGCUCUGAAAAAUUGUUUCACCAAAGAGGAGUCUAGGGUCUUAUGUUAAGGGUACACGCUCAUGGUGGAAGAAAGACGACUCGAAGCAUUUCAGCAAUGAUGUCCCUUUAAACUAAUUAGUGCUGCUUUCCUAAAGGGUGGUUCAAUGAGGGCAAUUAAUCCUUCAAUUGUUUUUCUAGAUUAUAUCAUUGAAAAUAAACAAUACAACUUUAUUUAGAGUUAGCGUUAUAAUGAUUGUUUGAACAUUAUUCCCUAUCCAUUUAGGCAAAAUUGUGAUUCGAUUUCAUUUUCUAUGUGAAAUAGGAAGACUGAGAAAAAGAAAAAAAAGAAUACAGUAAACAGUUGACCAUUCAAAGGCAGAUUAUUGCAGUUUAUCUGCAAAUAUUUCUCAAGUUUUUGGUUGACGUGCUUAUCACCAACUUUGCAAAAUUAACUCCUUUGUUUACACUGUCUUGCCUUCUCUGCUCUCAGGAGAUUAUUUCAGGAUGAUUUCCUUGUGUGGAUUUCAAUCAGACUUCUGGAGUCCCAAAUUACCCUUUUCUUCAUUAUAAUUUCAUGAGGAGAGUCUUAAAGAUCAUAUCAGAUCCCUUCUCAUGUGUGAGUACUGCUUUGAGUCUGAUUAAAUAAAUGAAAAAAUCAUUUAAAAUUUAGCAGAUGAGCUCAUAGAGGGAAAGAGAGAACAAAAGCAAGUCUGUGGUCCAACAAAACCUCUUGUUUUUCUACAACAUAAAUAGCUCCCUAAAGUCAUAGGCCCUUUUACAAAGCGUAUUCAUAUAUACCAGUUUGAUCUUCACAAAGAGAUUUUGCUAGAAUGGGUAUCGUAUAUAUUAAUUUGAUCAGGAAACAAAUUCAUAGAUUUUCAGCAACUUUAUCAAGUAAGUAGAAGAGUAAGAACCGGAACUACUGGUUUCUUCCUUCCAGCUCCAGGUUGUUUACACUUUCCUAGAAAUGUUUUACUGAAAAACGGAAUAAGCUAAUCAAUUAAGAACAGACAAGAGAUUUUCACAUAUUGAGGUAUGUAGGGUAACUAUUCAGGUUCAAAACUGAUUCGGCAUGAACUCAAAAGCCUGACUUAUGGCCUGUCAAACAUACAUUGUACAUCUGCUUAACCAUUAAAGAAUGCCCUUUGUUAAGGUAAGAAAGCAGACUUCCCCUCCUACGCCCUGUUGGUAACACUCCAUUAGUAAAGCUCAGAUUAGUCCCUUUCUGGAAGUGGGCGUCAUGUUAACCUACUAAUUUGCAACUAAAGAUCUCUUUGAAACUUUGAUGAAAAUCUAUCCUAGGUGGUGUUUAUUGGAUGUUCCUUGUUCUAAAAAGAUAUAAGACUGUACUGAAAACCAUGCUUCUCUGGAACACUUUCUAAGGCCUUCCUGGGUUGUAAUCCUCGCUCUGGCUCAGGCAAAACUCACCUUAUUUCUCUUAUCCAUACAAUGAUUAUUGGCUAUUUUUCAUCAACAGAACAAAGAAUGAUCUAAGCAAACAGAUAUCAAUUUCUACAACAUUUGACGUUAUAAACUUUCCCUACUUUUUGAAACCGUGUUCCCUUGGCUUCCCAGACCCUGGAAUCCACUCAGUCUUCUUCUAAUCCUUCUUUUGAAUUCCUUUUGCUGAUUUAUCCUUUCGUGCUCUGACACUCAGGGUUCCAUAGGAUUUAUUCUUGCUUCUCUUUGCAGCCUGCACACUCCUCCCUAAGGAUCUCAAAUUUCUAUUUCCAGAAUUCACCUGCCUUCCCAAGUUCCAGUCUAUUCUGAGCAGAUAUAUCAUCGGUUGACGUAGGUGUGGUUUUGUAAGGAUGGGAAUUAGAGAAACCUGAAAAUGUUUACAAAAACAAUUUACUGGAAUGCAAAAGAAGUCAGCUAAAAAUAAGUAAAAGAAGCUUCAGCAGCAUUGAGGAACAAACUUAACUUGUAAUCUAAGGCUUUGUGGUGAAACCGAUCGUUCCAAGAAUUUUCAAAAUUCCAGCAUAAGAAGCUGAGAAAACUAACAUGAUUAUCAAGGAGAAGGAGAAAGGAUCUCAAGGAUGGGGGUCCCUGUCACCUAAGUGGUCAGGACCAAAGAGCAUCGUGAUACAAGCCUGGGAGGAAUGUAGAAUUGUCUGUUACUUCACUGCUGUGACUCUGGCACCUAUAAUCACGCUAGCAUACAGUAGUUGUUUAAUCAGCAUUUAUAUGAAUGAAUAAAUAAAUAGAAGCUGGAAGAACUAUCGCUGACAAUGCAUGUGAUGGAUAUUCUAGAAGAGUUUUUCAUUAAGUUCCAUAUUCUUUAAAACAUAGGCAGUUUUAAAAAUGAUUAGUUUGAGAAUGAACCUGUCCAGUGUGUUAUUCUUCCUUCCUUUAACUGAACAUAAUCAUCAAAUUCUAUGACAAUGUCAAAAACCCUGUAUUUGGCAAGGGUAAAUUUGAAAAGAAUGUUGAAUGAUAAAUAAUGUGUGCUUUUACUUCUUGACCAAAUAAGAUUGGUAUUGAUUUUUUUGUGUGUUUAAAGCAAAAUGUUUUAUUCCUCUUUCGAUUUAUUCUUUCCAGCUCGUUUAUUGUUGAUGGAGAACAGUAAGUACCAACUAUAAUUUUGUUAGACCAUGGAUCUCUUGUUAUCAGUGACAAUUCUGAGAGUAUCAGAGUGAAAAUGAAGUGUGUUGAGAGGACCAGGUAAUCGUUACGCCUAAGGGAUAUUCCGGUGCAAUUUUUAGACAGCUUGCUUUAACGACUAAAUGGUUUUAUUUUUUUGUGUUGUACUUAUUACUAAUUAAAAUUUUGAUAUUGGUGUUUUUGAGACACAAAAAUAUAUUUGCUUCAGUGCAGUGUUAUGAUUGGCCUGCCUUGAUCACACGCCUCUUCUCUAGUUAGGAAAAGGUGGGGAGUCUAAUAGGCUCACUUGAUUUUAUCCAAAGGGAAAAGAAAAGAUCCCCAGAGGAUAGUGGGGACUGACAGAAAGAGAAAAACACUAUUUUUUGGUCUGAUUGUUUUAUUAAAUAACUGCCUUAAUUCCAUUUUUUACAUGCGGCUAGAAUUGCAGUUUCAGAGAACUAGGAAGCAAGAAUUAAAGGAAGGGAAUGGGGAUCUUUAGCCAAAGACAAAAAGACUGAGAGGAGUUAGGGUUCAUUCACUUUAGUGACAUUGCUUAAUGAAAAUAAAACACAAUAUUUACACUGCAAGAUCACAAAUUUGUGUUUCUAUAGUACUAACAAAAUAUAACUGGUAUUUUGCAAUAUUAAUUAGAUAAUAACUGAAACAAAAAUUUGUCUACAAUAUUCAACAGUCUUCAUUCAACAUUGAAAACAUGGUCACACAUUUCACUUAUCAUUGGUUAAAGAAAAUCCACACUCUCUUUUCUUUGUAAAUUUAACUUUUCUGAAGACAUACCCACAGAUAAUCAACUAUGGCCUCCAUAUUACUAAAAACAUUUACUUUCAUUUCAACCAAACACUUUUUUGGGGAAAAAAGAUUUUAAUUUCCUCUAUUUUUGAAGUCUCGUAGAAGGAGGACUUCGAACUCAGUGGCAACCAGGGUGGAGGUUGAAAGGAAAAGUGGGCCAACAUUCAGAAACAAUUCUGUCCUAUUCUAUUUCCUUAGGCCAGUAGAACCAUAGCAACAAAUAAUUUUUGAGUUAUACAAAUCCCUGAGCUAAUCCUUUAUUAAUGUGCUCGUCUAAUUAGCUCUAUAAAUAGUAUAUGAAUGAAUGAAUGAAAAUUAAAUUAAUAAGUGCAUAAACUAAAACAAAAUAAUAGCCUUUAUAGAAUAAACAAUUAUUGCUUCACUGAGGGAAAACAUUAAUACAUAUGAAUUGCUUUUAGAAAAACUUUUCACACCGCUUACUCUCUUUUGAAAUUUACUUAAAUGCUUUUUAUUUAUAACUAUAUAUUUUGACUUAUAGAAAGUAAUAUAACCAGCGAUAGACUGCAAAAUUGGUCCCAAACUCUUCCCUUCCCAUCAAGAGGUAGAUUUUCUGCCCUUGCUUCUGGCUGCUAUGCAGCCUUCUUGGACCAAUCAGACAUUAGCAGGCGUGUCAUAAGUAGAGGCUUGAAAAAUGCUUAUAAAUUGGUGUUUACUCUUUUUGACUCUUGGAACUCUCCCUGCGUUCUGUAAAAAACCCUUAGAUAGCCUGAUAGGGAAUGAGUGAUUCCACGCAGCAGAGAGACAAGCAGUCCCAGCUGAGUUCCCUGUCCAUCUACCCACCAACCUGCCCUCAGCUGGCCUGGCAGCUAAUUGCAGGUCCAAGUGUAAUACCAGGUGAACCAGAAGAACUGCCCAGCUGAGGCAAAUAGUCAUUGUUUUAAUCCAUCAAGUUUGGAGUAGUUUGUUACACAGCACUAGAUAACUCACACAGAAAUUGGUAUUUAGAAGCAGAGUGUUCCCAUAACAGAAAAUUUGUAUUAUUGGAGGGCAAGUAGAAAAUUAUUAAAGAUGCUGUUUGCAAAGGCUGGAAAAAUGUUAAGUAAACUUUGUGGAGGCUGGAAAGAUGGCAAGAAAAUGGAUAUGGCAUACUGGAAAAAAAAAGAUCAUUCAUGUGUGUGGUGAGACAACUGGCUAAGCUGUCAACUGUAAUAACUUGGAGAUAGAAAUGGACUAAUGAGCUUGUGUCAUUGGCAAGGUGAUCUCCAAACAGAAUGCUGAAGUGUCCAUUGCUUUCUUUUAGCUGCCUCUGAUAAAUAAUUCCAGGAAGAAAGAGACAAAUUAAAGAAAGAAUGGUUCAGUUUACAAGAAGAAUUCAGAGGGAAUAUAAAUGGACCAGGAUGUGAGGAUCUGGAAAAUGAAACUGUUUGUCUUUAGCCAAGGACAGAACUUAAAAUAAAUAAAAACCUGGAAGAUGAAAUCCAAAGCAUUGCCAAUAAAACUUGGCAUCACGGUCAUAAUGAUUAAAGAGAGUCAUGGCAUCAGAUCAAAUCAAGGAUAUGGCCUUAAAACUGUUUGUUAAGACCUCUAAAGAUUUAAGGAGACUGAUGUAUCCAAAAUAGAGAAAAGCCUGUGUGGAAAACAAAUGGGGAUGUAAUUUUUAUCAAAUGUAAUGGCCUAUUAUCUGAUACAAGGGAGUUGUAUCAGUAAAAGGGUCCCAGCUUGAAAUAAAGAGACUGAGAAAAUUA